GUGUUCUUAGAUCUAGUGAUACCUAUGGACAGUGUCGUGGAGUGUCUAUCUUUCCCCCUCUCCAAGUCAGUAUCAAGGGUCUGCCCAAGGUCUUGUUUUACGUUUGGAUCUUUAAUCAGACAAAGCUGAAAUCUGUUUUUCACAAACGGCCGAUCUCGACUUCGUGGAAAUAUAACGUUACCUGGUAUUUGAUUGUUAUAGCCAAGGGGAUAUUGCGCAGUGGCAGCAAUGAAAGCAGUGGCGGCCACUUCAGGUGAUGUCGGUUUGCCGUCAUUCUUGACAUCGGCCUCUUACAGACAGCGGAAUGGGAGAGACCUGAGGACAGCACACCGCUCAGUGGAUUUCUAAAAGGGAUGUUGCUACAUUGACCGAUGUACUGCUCAAAGUUAAAUAGUUGGACAUGAUGUUAUUGAGUGAAACUCUGUGAGCCUCAUCAACACACACAACCCAUCACUUGCCAGCACUGUUAUCAAAGGCCAAUCAAAUGCACCCUGAAAAUAAACUUGCCACUAAUGGUAAGCAAGUGGUCAGCAGUUCUGAAACCCAGAUUUCUGAUGUGAACCAGCAGCAAGGCCUUGGCUCUAAGGGUGUUGGGAUUGGAAGCCAUGGAGUCAAAGCCAAUCAAAUUUCUCCUGGAUUGAACAGCGUGGGUCAGUCAAGCAUUGGUGGAGGAAUAACAAUGUUAAAGACCAAGACCAAACGAGAGAGAGCCAUCUCCAUGGACACAGCUGACCUGAGAGACACCCUGGCCCCUGCCCUGGAGCCUGAUGCUAAAGAGGGUGUGAUGCGCAGCAAGCGUCGCUGUGUUCUGGAGAAGAAGCAACCCUACAGUGGUGAUGAGUGGUGCUCAGGAGCAGACACGGAGGAGGACGAGGACAGACCCAACAUAACAGUUCAUCGUAAGUCUUCACUCAAAUACACUCAACGAACAAUUUUCAGCACCAAAAAACCUACACUGACCUCUGGAGGAUACGCUUGAGUUGGCAGCUGGCAACCAAAUCAUGACCUCUGCUUGCUUCUCUUAGCAGCCCGUUUUUAUGGGUCCUCCUGUGUCAACAGCCAGACCAAUCAGUAGGUUACAACCAUUUCCGGGGGGAAACUAUGGUUGUUUCUAGUAGUAGGGGAUGGGGCUGUGGCUGCACCCAACCUGUCACCUGCGCAACUGCUCUUUGCAUGAGUGCAGAGAAGAGAAGAGAAGAGACGAGACAGAGAGUUCUGAGUCUCUGUGGUUGAUGUCAGAGUGCUUUUCACAAAGAGUGGGGCUGACAACCCUGGUGUGCUGGCCCAAAUUGGCUCCUUCUCAAUCAACAGUUCUUAAGACAACCAACUGGUUCUCCUCCCACCAAACUGUACUAAUAAUGCAUCAUGGAGAAGGGCAGUGACAAAGUUAAUCAAAUUACCGUUUAGUCACUUCAAUGAUUUGCGUUUCAAUCAUUUCCCACCAGGAUUUCUGUACCACAGUACUGACACUGCUCUUGUAAGGGUUGUAAUGGCCAAUCUUUUGAAUAUUGACAGUCAAACAUUCCACCUAACAUACCGACAAAUUUGAUAUGACUUUCCACAAUACAGAAAUUGUCUUUGAUCCUAACUAAACUACACUAGACCAAGUAUGUUGUUCCACUAUUAUGCCAACCACAGCUAGAACAAACUCUGAGAGAAUAUUAAAUCUCUGAUUUGUUUUAAACCACAUUGAUUUACCUCUGUUUAUGAAAUGUGAUGUGCAAAGUAAUCUUCAUGCUGUUGAAGUCCAAAAUGGUCUCAUGAAUUCUACAUGGAGUAACCUAAAAAAAAUGAUUUAGCUCCAUCUAGUGUUAGUAACUGAGAACUGCUAACUAGAAGACAACCUCCUCACAUUUUGUGCAUCUGAGAUGGACGCAAAAACUUUUAUAACGUGAUCCAACAGUCAAAUGUUGUGCAUCUGUCUGUC